ACAUUUAAAGUGUGGCUGCAAAUCUGGGAUGCAGGAGGUGAAAAUUCAUUGUCUAAUCUGUUUCUCAGUUUCCUCUUUCAGAAACGAGAGAUUUUUCAAGACCUUGCUCCACUGCUGUGGCACUCCUUUGGCACUGUUGCUGCACUGCUCCAGGAGAUUGUGUCAAUUUACCCUUCACUUUCACCUCCUACUUUGUCGCUAGUUGCAUCAAACCGUGUCUGCAAUGCACUUGCACUUCUUCAGUGUGUUGCUUCACACCCUGAGACCAGGAUCCCGUUCUUGAAUGCUCACAUCCCACUGUACAUGUACCCGUUCCUGAAUACUACCAGCAAGACAAGACCUUUUGAGUACUUGAGGCUUACCAGCUUGGGUGUUAUUGGUGCUCUUGUGAAGGAAUCUCAACAGGAACUGUUAUUUUUGAAGCAAACAGGCUAA
rnacentral:rRNA from 1 species